rnacentral:rRNA from 1 species
UACGUAGGCAGCGAGCGUUGUUCGGAGUUACUGGGCGUAAAGCGUGCGUAGGCGGUGUCUUAAGUUUGUUGUGAAAUCUCCCGGCUUAACCGGGAGGGUGCGGCGAAUACUGAGAUGCUGGAGUGCCGGAGAGGUAAGCGGAAUUCCUGGUGUAGCGGUGAAAUGCGUAGAUAUCAGGAGGAACACCUGCGGUGUAGACGGCUUACUGGACGGUA